rnacentral:SRP_RNA from 1 species
GCUGGGUGUGGUGGCGGGCACCUGUAAUCCCAGCUACUUGGGAGGCUGAGGCAGGAGAAUUGCUUGAACCUGGGAGGCAGAGUUUGCAGUGAGCCGAGAUCACGCCACUGCACUCUAGCCUGGGUGACAGAGCAAGACUCUGCCUCAA